UCCGGGUGAAUAUGGCAAGGGUGUCGAUAUUCUAGUAUCAGAUCGAUGUAUUUGUAUGUCACAGUCUUUUAUUAUUAUAAUGACAUUAUUUUUACUUAUUCAAUUGUUUCAAUUAAAAAAAAAUCCUAUGGCUUUUCCAAGAGUGUAAACUCCAAUCGAUAGUUUCAUUAUUCAGGUCGGUUAUAGCUGACAAAAUUGUUUAUUCUAUUCAUUUUGUUUUAUCUCACUCUUUCUUUUCAAAAGAAAAUAUAACAAGAUCAAAGAGGCCGUUUGAGUAGUUUUUAUGUGAUCAUCAACAGAAGCCAUAAUCCUCACUUUAUACACACCCAAGCUCAUUAGUGUAAAUCACAAAUUAAUUGUGUAAACAUUUUAAAUACUUUUUUCAUGAACAUUAACAAUGUAUCACUAAUUAUUUAUCAAAAUUCUAUAAAAGAUAAUCUUAG
rnacentral:lncRNA from 1 species